rnacentral:rRNA from 1 species
AGUGAACGCUGGCGGUAGGCCUAACACAUGCAAGUCGAACGGCAGCACAGUAAGAGCUUGCUCUUACGGGUGGCGAGUGGCGGACGGGUGAGGAAUACAUCGGAAUCUACUUUUUCGUGGGGGAUAACGUAGGGAAACUUACGCUAAUACCGCAUACGACCUACGGGUGAAAGCAGGGGAUCUUCGGACCUUGCGCGAUUGAAUGAGCCGAUGUCGGAUUAGCUAGUUGGCGGGGUAAAGGCCCACCAAGGCGACGAUCCGUAGCUGGUCUGAGAGGAUGAUCAGCCACACUGGAACUGAGACACGGUCCAGACUCCUACGGGAGGCAGCAGUGGGGAAUAUUGGGCAAUGGGCGCAAGCCUGAUCCAGCCAUGCCGCGUGAGUGAUGAAGGCCUUCGGGUUGUAAAGCCCUUUUGUUGGGAAAGAAAAGCAGCAUGUUAAUACCCCGCUGUUCUGACGGUACCCAAAGAAUAAGCACCGGCUAACUUCGUG